rnacentral:rRNA from 1 species
AUUGAACGCUGGCGGCAGGCCUAACACAUGCAAGUCGAGCGAGAGGCGGACGGGUGAGAAAUGUCUGGGAAAAUGCCUGAUGGAGGGGGAUAAAUACUGGAAAAGGUAGCUAAUACCGCAUACCAUAAGAUGUGCCCAGAUGGGAUUAGCUAGUAGGGGGGGUAACGGCUCACCUAGGCGACGCUCCCUAGCUGGUCUGAGAGGAUGACCAGCCCCACUGGAACUGGGACACGGUCCAGACUCCUACGGGGGGCAGCAGUGGGGAAUAUUGCACAAGGGGCGCAAGCCUGAUGCAGCCAUGCCGCGUGUUUGAAGAAGCCCUUCGGUUUGUAAAGCACUUUCAGCGGGGAGGCGUUUCCCGCAGAUGAAGCACCGGCUAACUCCGGGCCAGCCGCCGGGUAAUUC